CCUUUCAAAUCAAACAGAGAGGUAUGGUGAUGAGUCUUUUAUCAACUCCUACAUUAGGCCAAUGAGGUGGGAUUAGGGGAGAA